UACGAAGGGUCCAAGCGUUAUCCGGAUUUAUUGGGUUUAAAGGGUGCGUAGGCGGCUUAUUAAGUCAGUGGUGAAAGACUUCAGCUUAACUGAAGAACUGCCAUUGAUACUGAUGAGCUUGAGUAUACUUGAGGUGGGCGGAAUGUGUCAUGUAGCGGUGAAAUGCUUAGAUAUGACAUAGAACACCAAUUGCGAAGGCAGCUGGCUACACAAAUAUUGACACUGAGGCACGAAAGCGUGGGGGAUCAAACAGG
rnacentral:rRNA from 1 species